rnacentral:rRNA from 1 species
AUUGAACGCUGGCGGCAGGCCUAACACAUGCAAGUCGAACGGUAACAGGAAGCAGCUUGCUGCUUCGCUGACGAGUGGCGGACGGGUGAGUAAUGUCUGGGAAGCUGCCUGAUGGAGGGGGAUAACUACUGGAAACGGUAGCUAAUACCGCAUAAUGUCGCAAGACCAAAGAGGGGGACCUUCGGGCCUCUUGCCAUCGGAUGUGCCCAGAUGGGAUUAGCUUGUUGGUGGGGUAACGGCUCACCAAGGCAACGAUCCCUAGCUGGUCUGCGAGGAUGACCAGCCACACUGGAACUGAGACACGGUCCAGACUCCUACGGGAGGCAGCAGUGGGGAAUAUUGCACAAUGGGCGCAAGCCUGAUGCAGCCAUGCCGCGUGUAUGAAGAAGGCCUUCGGGUUGUAAAGUACUUUCAGCGGGGAGGAAGGGAGUAAAGUUAAUACCUUUGCUCAUUGACGUUACCCGCAGAAGAAGCACCGGCUAACUCCGUG